AUUUAGCUGACGAGUCCCACAUAGGACGAAACGCGCGGCCUGUAU
rnacentral:hammerhead_ribozyme from 1 species